CAAACGAGUGGCAACUGUACGCGUGUCAGCACCGAGUUACGGCUAAAUCCCGUGAUAAAGGUCUUAUAUUUUCUCGUUGUUCGUUCGUUCGUUCUUUUUGCUAAGAAGAAAAGGUUAAUGUGUCGUAUGGUUAUUUUUUUUGGUCUUUUUUGACAAAGAAAACAACAGAAAAAAUAAUAAUAAAAAAAUUCUGUUUAUGUACCUCUGAGGUGAAAACAAAAGUGAUUUCUUGUGAAAAGAAUUAAAAAAAAAAAAGUGAAUAAAAAAUAUCACAAAGAAAAAUGUGUAAAAAAGUGUGAAAAAUAAUUAAAAAAGUUCACACACAUUUUUUUUACACAAAAAAGUUUAUGGUGAAUUAAGUACAAAUCAAAUCGAUCUGUCAUAGUGACGUUUCGUUUCACACACAUCGUAAAUUCACCAUCAUUAUUACCACCAUCAACCAUCAUCAAUUGGAUUCAAAAUGGUGUUUGGCGGAAAGUUUCGCAUUAGAAGGUAAGAAUUUGUAAACCACCAACGCAGAUUAAAAAAAAACUAGUUCAUUUGCAAAUAUUUGGCAAGUCAAUAAAACAACAACAACAAAAAAAAAAGUUAAAAAUAAAAAAAAAGUUAAGUAGCAUCUCUAUUCCAUUAUCAAUUGUGAAUGCAAACAAUAACAAUACAAAAGCAGUCAAAUGAAACCAAUUUUGGCCAAAAAAAGGUGUGGAGCUUUUUUUCUUGAUGACAGAAAACAAAAAAGAAUAUGAAUCAUCAUGUUGACAGUGAGGGUCUUUUAAUUAGAUUCAGUCUUCUUAAUUUUUUUAAACUUUUAAUCAACUGUCAAAUAAAACAAACUCCUGAUAAGUGUCAAACAACUGUCAAAAGUGACAGCUCGGUAAUUUUUGAAGAGUCUAGAAAAAUGCUUUUAUGUUUUACAAGUUCGUAGGCACAUGCAAAAUAAAAAUUCGAAAAAUAAAUGUGUCUAACUAAGUGAAUUGAAGUGUACAUAAUUCUUUAAGUUAUAUAAAUAUUUAUGUGACUUUGAAUUAAGAAUAAACACCAAUGAGAAAAAAAAAAUUGCUCAUUAUUUUUGAUGAGCAAUUAACAGCUUUUAAGUAUCUUGAGAAAUAAAAACAAAA